GACGAACCGUGCAAACGUUGUUCGGAAUCACUGGGCUUAAAGGGCGCGUAGGCGGCUUGCCAAGUCAGGGGUGAAAUCUUUCGGCUUAACCGGAAAAGUGCCUUUGAUACUGGCGAGCUAGAGUGAGGUAGGGGCAUGUGGAACUUCUGGUGGAGCGGUGAAAUGCGUUGAUAUCAGAAGGAACGCCGGUGGCGAAAGCGACGUGCUGGACCUCUUCUAACGCUGAGGCGCGAAAGCUAGGGGAGCAAACGGG
rnacentral:rRNA from 1 species